CCUUAACCUUUGCAUGAUGUGUUGAUGGUGAUUUACCUCCCUCCAAGCACUGCUCUGCCUGAGCCCCCACAGGACCCCUGAAACAACUGCAGAACUGAGACUGUAGCAGAUCAUGGGAUGCCCAUAGUUCCUUCUCACUCCCUCAUCAGAAGCAGAAAUAUCAAUGUCUGCACAGUAGCUUCUAAUUCAGCUGAAAACACAAUGCUACAACUUUCAUCUGCUCUUUCUACUUGAUUUAUUCAAGCUAUGCCCCAGCUAUUUCCCAUUCUGAAAGCCAAGAGAGAAGCCAAGUGAAGGAAAAAUGGGUUUUGCUCUCCCUUCAUUAUUUUUUCAAGUUCAAACCGACCAGAUUAGGAACUCUACCAGUCUGCAUCAGUUAGAUGGAGACAUCUUUGUUGUCUCUAGUUAAAAAUCAAAGUUGAACCAAUUUAACCUAUUAACUGUAGCACAGAAAAAGCUGAAGAAGCUGUCAGUAGCUUUCUGGUCCCAAGAUGGAGUUCCUAUUGCUUUUCUAACAGGCUGAGAAAUUACUACCCAGGCUUUACUGCUGAAUUUUAUGAAUGGAAAAUAGUUUUGCCCCAAAGCUUGUAUUCAUUAUUCAUAGCUUAGUUUGUUCCCUAAGAAACAGGAACGUAGCAACAAAUUCAAGGUCUCCCUGGAUGUUAGGUAACUGCAGAUCCAGAUCAGGAACGCACAAUGCUUUUCCAUCCCUAAUUCCUGUGUCAACAUCUCCAACGGUAAACACGUGACAGAAGACACGAGAAUUUACAAACACACUUUCUGGAUGAUGAGUACAAUAACCAAGCAGGCCUAAAGCCACUGCUAGGAUGAGCUUUGGUACUGCAAUUGCAGAAUGUGGCAAGGAAACAACACUGCAGGAUUUUUUCACCUCCAAGCUACUGCUGCUUGCUCACACAAAUCUCUCUCCUGUCAGCAGUGCAAACUGCUCUGACACUGGCGUUUACUGGCAAGCAAGAAAGAGAAACAUGGGUGCAAAUGCCACGCACAGGCAAGGUAGCCUACACCCUUAAUUCUCUGUAAUGCAGAACACCUACCUAGUGCUGACCUAGCAGGCAAACAACAAAAGCACUUUAUCAGGAGGGACGCGUUAUCGCUGCUCAGCACCCCAGCUCCCGCUCCCUGAGCAAACAAUGGGGGUGGCAGGGGACAGCCACUCUCCUCCGCCACAGCUCCCUGUACCACGGCCACUCCAGCUCCCAGGCAUGGGAAUGGCACAACCUUACCAUUCUGCAAGCAGUUUGCACCAGGACCAGCUGAGUGCUCAUUCCUGCUGGGACUCAGUGGGUCCAUAACCUCCAGGGAGGAGGUAGCUGUGCUGCAAGACUUGCCAAGACUCUUCUGUUGGCAUCUUGAUGUCCUAGCAAGGCCCCACAGGAACACAGCUUGUUCACUGAAGGAGGGUGCCAGAACAAGCUACUGCAGUUCAUAGCAGUGCUUUUACUCUCAGUGAACUUCAAAUUAAGUAUAAAGUGGGAAGAGCAUUGCUAAAACAUCCAGAAAUCACCACUCCCAACAGAAAUGCAGACAGCAGGUUUCCUUGCAGAUCCUCCCAAGCCCCUUUGCAACACUUGCUGCAGCAUGAAGCCCCAUCA
ensembl:lncRNA